rnacentral:rRNA from 1 species
UACGUAGGUGGCAAGCGUUACUCGGAAUCACUAGGCGUAAAGCGCAGGUAGGCGGUUGGAUAAGUCUGUUGUGAAAGCUCCCGGCUUAACUGGGAGAGGUCAACGGAAACUAUCCGGCUAGAGUGUGGUAGAGGUAGCUGGAAUUCCCGGUGUAGCGGUGAAAUGCGUAGAUAUCGGGAGGAAUACCUAUGGCGAAAGCAGGCUACUGGACCAUCACUGACGCUGAUCUGCGAAAGCUAGGGGAGCAAACAGG